AGACCGGAACAGCUGAGGAGAACCAGAGAGACAACGAACAAGAUGAGGAUAAAGCCUCACAUUCGGUCUGGAGUUUGUGGACAAAGCUAAAGAGAAAACAAACACUCCGGGAAGCAUCUGUGUCUAUGCAGACUCAAGACAGAAUCCCAGUCUCCUGUCCUUGGUGAACAGCCCCUUUAUCGUAGCAGGGCCUGUUCUGGAGAUGAGAGAACAAAUAGAAAUCAUAUAGAACUUGAAGUGGAGGAGGAGAAGACAAGGCUACUGGAGCGUGGACACCAGAGUUGGGUAAACUCUCCCAGAUAACAGGCCAUGAAAGAAAGGAGAACUCCAGGAAGCACUUUCAUUGUCAACCGGAGCUCUUCUUUCUUUUUCCUCUUCUUUUUCAUUUCUACACCUGUCUGAUACACUCAAGAGCCAAACUCAGUCACAAAGAAAAUUGUGUUACUAUUAGUUUGCCCUUGUCUGUUUGCAUACAUGUGAAAACGUGGGGAAAUCUACAAAUCGCUUGGCAAAGGCCUUUAACAAGUUUACAUGGCUUCCAUGAGCUUGAUUUUUUUCCCCAUAUGGUUGAUGGUCAAGGGCACUGCUCCCUCGAUCAUAAAGUCAUGUUGCUUGUUUUAAGAGACCAGACACAAGACUGUCCCACCCUACUGCAAAUAAGGUCUCCAGAUUAUCAUCUCAUCUCUUGGACUGUGUUAGAGAACUGGGCUUCCAGAUAUAUGUAAUGAUGAGGUCCAAUAAAUAAACUUGAUUGAACCUAGAUUAUCUCGGAGUCUUGAGACAAUUGUGUAACUGGUGGUUUAGGGUGGGUAUCACGUUGGGUUUUCUUCAUUCUCAGAAUUCUUGGCGUUUUCAGAGUUCCGAUGGCACCAGUGAGUUUCCCUGUCUGAAGAGAUAGAGAAAAUGUUCCCAUGUCUUGCCUGUCAUCGACCCAGGUUCUCACACCGACUUUAAAUCUUUCCCUCAGUCUACACUGAAUAACCAUAUGACGCAAACGAGUGAGGAACUGAGCCAUCAGAACAUGGUGCUGGAGAGACGGCUCAGGGGUGAAGAGUGCUGGCUGUUCCUGCAGAGGACUGGAGUUCAGAUGCCAGCACCCACUUUGAGUGACCUACAACUGUCAGUAGCUCUAACGCCAAGGAAUUCCUUCUUCUGGCCUCCAUAGGAACUACAUGUGCAUGCACAUGCCGGCGUCUCUCUCUCUCUCUUUCUCUCUCUCUCUCUCUCUCUCUCUCUCUCUCUCUCUCUCUCUCUCUCUCUGUCACACACACACACACACACACACACACACACACACACACACCCCAAAUAAAAUAGAAGUUGAAAAAAUUUUAAAGAAUAUUCUGCUUUGACAUCGAUAGAUAGAUACAGAUGAUACAGAUAGACAUAGAUGAUAUUGAUAUAGAUAAUAGAUGAUAGAGAUAUAUUGUGGAAGAGGUAAAUCCAGCUAAUCCCAAAAUACAUGGUCUCGUUAUAGCUAUAGCUUUUGUCAGAACAGUUAGCGUUCUAACUUCUGUAUUUCAGCAAUCACUUCCUAUUCUCACCACAGGGAACAACUGAUCUUUUUUUAUUCUCUGGCAUCUAUGAUCAUGUGUCCUUUGACUAACUAACAUCCUUCCAUCUUUUCCUUCUGAGGAAUCCCCCAGACUCUGGGAACCGCCAUUCUACCUUCGUUGACACAAGGCCAAUACCUUAGAC